GUUGCUGUCCGUGGGGGGGCGCUGUCCGCGUCUUUAGGUCUAAUGGCCGGAGCAGUUGCCCUUCUUUGAGAAUUUCUGCUCCAAUGGAAGCUGCUUCCUUCCAUAAGGGGAACCGAUGUUUUUCAUUGGGAAAGGAUGACGUUCUAUCCCUCUGUAGCGUUCUUCUCUGCUUCCCCAGAUGGAACUGGCGUAGUUGCCCGCCACCCUGGCACUUUCUGGGUGAGCUGAUAGUCCACAUGGGCGUUUGAUGGUUUCCUCAGACCUUGGGGCUCAGUCAUGGCUGUGGUUUCUUUUGGUUAAGCUUCUGGAUGAAUGAUCGUAGUGGGUGACCCCUCUCCUCUGCUUUUGCGGAAAUUUGUGAUCUGCUUAAGAGAAUUAGAAAUGUUUCUUCUGGAAGAUUUCGUUUUCCUCUUCAUGAACACUCCAGUCCCUGGUGUGUGCCUCUCCCCGAGCCCCCCCCACUCUCUAUUUUUGUAUGUACUUCACAUUUUCUUUCCUCUUAAUCCCCCUAGACAGUAGGCUCAUCAAGGCAGGCAGUCCGUGCUCUUCCAGUUGGCCAGCCCUGCAUCCUCUCGCUGCAGCCUUUGUGAGCAUUUGCUGAAUACACUGAAGUGAAGAGCCCUGAUAGUCCAGGCUCAGUUUGGCGACUUUUUCAAAUCACCGGUUCAGGAAAUGAAGUGUUCCUAGGAAGGUUUCAAAUUCUGGGGCUAGAAUUAUUUUACAAAGUCCCAGCAUGCUAUGGCAGAAAUGGCAUUUCCUUGUGAUCUGCAGUGUUGUAAGGGUUACUCUCUGUUUUUGUCUUAGGUUAUAGUAUCUAGUGCACGCGGUAGUUUUACUUUCCUUUGUAAAAUCACUCAUCUAAUGAAGCGCUAAGUAAUGGAUGGAAAGUAGUUGGAAAUAAAUUGUAUUUUGGUGGUAAUCUUCAUGCUGAGGUUAGACAGCCGCCUGUAAUCAGUUAAAUGGGAAACUUUUCAUGAGGGGAGUUUGGAAUGUCUUUUCCCAUAUUAAAUGUAAAGCCUUGUCUAGUUGAGAAAAACAAUAAAUAUAUAAAGAACCUAGCUUCUCCUACUUAUUAUUAACCAUGGAGACCAAAUUUCUUUC